GGGCCGCUAGCUCAACUGGCAGAGCAGCAGACUCUUAAUCUGAAGGUUCCCGGUUCGAUUCCGGGGCGGCUCACUA
rnacentral:tRNA from 1 species